UACGUAGGGUGCGAGCGUUGUCCGGAAUUAUUGGGCGUAAAGAGCGUGUAGGCGGCCAUGUAGGUCCGUUGUGAAAACUCGAGGCUCAACCUCGAGACGCCGAUGGAAACCAUGUGGCUAGAGUCCGGAAGAGGAGAGUGGAAUUCCUGGUGUAGCGGUGAAAUGCGCAGAUAUCAGGAGGAACACCGAUGGCGAAGGCAGCUCGCUGGGACGGUACUGACGCUGAGGCGCGAAAGCGUGGGGAGCAAACAGG
rnacentral:rRNA from 1 species